rnacentral:rRNA from 1 species
UACGUAGGGUGCGAGCGUUGUCCGGAAUUACUGGGCGUAAAGAGCUCGUAGGCGGUUUGUCGCGUUGUUCGUGAAAACUCACAGCUCAACCGAGGAAGUGCAUCCGAAACUGGCGAGCUAGAGUACUAAAGAGGAUCGCGGAAUUCCCGGUGUAGAGGUGAAAUUCGUAGAUAUCGGGAGGAACACCGGUGGCGAAGGCGGCGAUCUGGGUAGAUACUGACGCUGAGGAGCGAAAGCGUGGGGAGCGAACAGG